AUAACAGUUGGGUCAGCUAUAAAACAUGCACAAUUUUAUAUUUAUGUGAUGAGCAAAAUUGUUGGAUUCGUCACUUAGCUUAUGUGGCUGGUUCUAUAGCAAGUAUCAACAUCUGUAUCCAACAUAAACUUUCAAGUUUAACUUCGAUUAUCUAUCUUAGAAUGAUAUACAGGCUAGUCAAACGUGGGAUUGUCUAGGUCUACAUAUGCAUAUUCAUUCAGUGUUUCACUACCUCUUCUAAGCAAUAUAAUAGGAGUUUGCUUGAAACCUGAGUCUGCAU